UCGCAAGCCACAAGGAAUUACAACUAACAACAAAGUAGUACUAUCUUGAUGCUUAUCUUUAAUUAGAGCCAAAUCUAGAUAUGAAACAUCUCAGUGUCAACUCACCCAGUUUGCAACAUGGGUUCUUAGUCAUUAUCAUAUUGAUGCUUGUCUUAUUUUGCUUUUCAUCUUGCCACGUUGAAGGGUUGAGGCCUCUACCGCAACAUUAUUCACUUGGUUCAUCUACCUUCAAUCGCUUCAUGAUGGCUCAAACAUACUCUGGUCCAAGUCGAGGGGGAAAGGGUCAUAAUACUACUUCUUAAUGUUACAUAUAUGAAGAUCAAAUGAAGAUACUUUAUUAUUUGAUUUGUAUUACUUUUAUUUGAGAGUUAAUGUUGGUUAACAAAUGAAUAGUGAAUGAUUCGCUGACAG
rnacentral:lncRNA from 1 species